CAGGCUCCCAGAGCCAAGGCAGUGACUGGCCAGAGCCUCCCCAUUUAGGGGUACUGACCUGAGUGCCAUCUACCCGUCAAAGUGCUUGAGACCACAACAGCAACCCCUGAAGGUGACUAGUUUACUUCCAGCGAAAAGGAAUGUCUGGAUUCUCCUCUAAGUCCUUUGCACAAACUGCAGAAGCUGUGUCAUCCCAUCCUGAUGAAGCCCAUGCCUCUGACCAGAUUCUUCUAGAACUCAAGCAUAGGUGACAUGGACAGGCAGCUGCCACUUUCCGCCCAUGAAGAAACCCUGAGGAGGAGGAAAACUACCCAGGAACACUGCAUGACAACUGCAGCAGCCCCACCCUCCACCCCUGGGCCUCUUGCUUAACUGAGAAAUAUAAGCCCUAUUUGUUUAAA